rnacentral:rRNA from 1 species
AACGAACGCUGGCGGCAGGCCUAACACAUGCGAGUCGAGCGAGGACUUCGGUCCUAGCGGCGGACGGGUGAGUAACGCGUGGGAACGUGCCCUUUGCUUCGGAAUAGCCCUGGGAAACUGGGAGUAAUACCGGAUGAGCCCUUUGGGGGAAAGAUUUAUCGGCGAAGGAUCGGCCCGCGUUGGAUUAGGUAGUUGGUGGGGUAAUGGCCUACCAAGCCGACGAUCCAUAGCUGGUUUGAGAGGAUGAUCAGCCACACUGGGGCUGAGACACGGCCCAGACUCCUACGGGAGGCAGCAGUGGGGAAUCUUAGACAAUGGGGGAAACCCUGAUCGAGCCAUGCCGCGUGAGCGAUGAAGGCCUUAGGGUUGUAAAGCUCUUUCAGCUGGGAAGAUAAUGACGGUACCAGCAGAAGAAGCCCCGGCUAACUCCGUG